CCUCUAUGCAAAUAAGAAUAAGAAAAAAGCAGGGGCAUAUAAGCUUCUGGACAUUUUUUGGGAAAUUAGUCUCUUUAUUUCAUAUGAUAUGAAUAGUCUUUAGAAUCAUCUUAUUCAGAAGACCAAGCCGAUUUGUUUACACAGGAGCAAGAGCAUGGCGUAACCAGGAACCAACCAAACCAUUGGUUCUUGCAUGAAAAGCUAGCUACUCUCCCUUCGCCUUGGUGACCUCCAGUGAACAAAUUACAAGGAAGAAAGAGAAAGUGUAGACCCUCCAUCAGAACAAGCAGAAACGGAAAUUGUUGAAAAUCGCAAAGAGGUGGAGUUAGGGUGCCAUGGUCACAUACCCUACAUGUUGAAUGAUCACCUGAGAAAGAUAAUUCUCUUCAAAUUUAAUGCACGUAGUUCCUGUGUUAUAUAAAACCUUCUUUUUUUAAAAUUGGCAAUGCUUACUAAAUGCUACCUAUGUGUUGAUGUAAUUCAUCUUUGUCACGUACAUGUUAGUUCCAGUCUAUCAUGGGUAUUACUUUGAAUUUUUCGCAUGUUUAUAGGAAAAAGGACAUAUGCCAGUUCAAGCUUAUAUGUACUACUAAUAUCAUAGUUAUAUGAGCUUAUAUGUACUACUAAUAAUAAAGUUAUAUGGUGUUCACUAGCAGCA